GGGCUUGCCGGCCCGCGAGCUUCUUGAGGACACGAGCGAGAGACUUUGUGGAGGAUUUUGCUGCAUCUCCUUUACAAGUUGUUGGCUGAGCGCGUUGUUCUGGUUUCUAACUUGUUUCUUUACGGCCUUCAAAAAUCGUAGCGAGUUUUCUCUGCGGCCUCCCUCUUGGUGAACCCCACCUUUCCAUGCCCUCCGUGUUUGCACCUUGCCCACCUCGGAAGUUUCUAGAGGCCCGCCGGACUCUUUCGUGUUUUCCAGACGCCGGUCUGCGAUUGUCUUUAUUUUUGUCUGACUUUACCGGUACAUUGGGCACAGCUUUUUUGACCCCACAGCGCCAUAGAUAACGAGAAAUUUCUAUUGGAAUGAACUCUUAUCAGUUUUACCUUGGGAGUUUGUGAUUCCUGGAAUCUCAGUUUCAUAGUCUCUACAGCCGUAUUGAUAUGUUUCACAUGUGCAAUGUGGUUAUAAAGUGCUUGCCGUAUGGAGAGCGGAAAAUAAUGGAUAGCAAAUAGUAGUAAUAGCUAAAGCUUUGGCGUCAUUUCCAGCCCUCUCGAAUUUUCUGUACAAUUGCUGGAAUGGUUCUGGCCUUGACUAUGGACAGGAGAAACUCAAGCGGCAUCAAAGCACAUUCUACGUGGUCAUUGCAGGCCCUGUACAACUUAGGUCUUGUCUGUGCCCUUCUUCAACCCAGUGAUCCCCCCAUUAAGUAGAUUUUUUUCUUACCACUGGAAUAAUGAAAUAAUGAUCCGUAAAGUUAGCCCUACUGUCUGUCCGUGAAGGAAAAAAUCUUUUUGGAUAACUAAUUAAAAAAAAAAAAAAAAGGACAACUGUUCUCUUGAAAGGAGUCUGAAAAAGCCAACUGCAACCCUCAGCACUCAGAAUUUUGAAGAACUGGUAUGAAGCUCAGCUGGGCAAGUCUGUCAGUUUGAGUGGAGGAAAAAAGGGAGGUAGAGGCAGAGCUGGUGACAGAAUCUAGGGCUGCUGAUCGGCUGAUCUGGUGUCUGAGCAACAUCAGGAAGGACUCUUCGCAUCUCCUUCUCUUUGCCGUAUCCUGUCCUGUGCUAAAUGAGAUGUAGAGAGUAAUGAAGCAUCUUGGAAAGAAAAAUACAAGUGCUCACUGAAAGCACUGACUUGUAAAUGAAGAAAAAGGUACCGUAAUUAUACCAUUAAAUAUAUUGAA